GAUGAACGCUAGCGACAGGCUUAACACAUGCAAGUCGAGGGGCAGCGAUAGUUGUAGCAAUACAAUUAGUCGGCGACCGGCGCACGGGUGAGUAACACGUAUGCAACCUACCCAUAACGAGGGGGAUAAGCGGAAGAAAUUCCGUCUAAUCCCCCAUAGUCCUGGGUGCUGCAUGGCAUUCGAGGGGAAAGGUCAGCCGGUAGGGGAUGGGCAUGCGGCGCAUUAGCUAGUUGGCGGGNAACGGCCCACCAAGGCGACGAUGCGUAGGGGUUCUGAGAGGAAGGUCCCCCACACUGGUACUGAGACACGGACCAGACUCCUACGGGAGCAGCAGUGAGGAAUAUUGGUCAAUGGGCGCAGGCCUGACCAGCCAAGUCGCGUGAGGGAUGACGGUCCUACGGAUUG
rnacentral:rRNA from 1 species